rnacentral:tRNA from 2 species
GGGGCCUUAGCUCAGAUGGGAGAGCGCCUGCCUUGCACGCAGGAGGUCACCGGUUCGAUCCCGGUAGGCUCCACCA